AACUUCACACAGGGGUGAGCCCCGCUAGCUAGCGAGUAGCGAACAUAGAGAUUUGCCAGAUGUAGGUUAGGUAAUUUAGCUAGCUACAGUAGCUAGUCAAUGUUAGAAAACUAGCUAGCUAAUACAAACUCAAUAUACUACAUGGAAAGUAUAUUAUGUACAAUGUGCUAUGGUAACUUGUUAGCUAGCUGGCGUAGUUGGUAGGCCUAAUAAUAACGCCAGCUAACGUUUGCUACCUAGCUAAAUUUAGUUAAGUACGUUUGCUAACGUUAGCUAGCUACAGUUAUGCCUCUGCAGUUAGCUAACCAACACUUGGUGAGCAUAAUAAUAAAGAAAUCCCCAUCAAAAUCCUUCUUUUUAAGCAUUAGAUUUAUUUUUGAAUGGGCUGCGUCUCAAUCCACCGCAUCCGCUGAUGUCGUCCUUCCGUGGCAGAGCUGCGGUGUUGUUUGUCAGACCAGGAGACACCAAAUUCUGUCUGUAUCGUCCGAAAAGUUCGGCCUUCAAGCUGAGACUCACGAACAAGUACAUUUUUCUCUAGGACGCCCACAAGUGUCUGAAUGUAGCAGCUCCAGUGUUUGACUGCAGUCUUCCAGCUUCACUGAUGCCAUCUCUGGAUCCUGCAGUGCAAACUUGGCUCCACUGUCACAAUCAGGACGCAGUGACUGUAGGUUUGGAGUGUGGAAUUUGUCAACUCUGAACAGUAUCCCAGUCCUAAAUAGAAGUCUGAGAUCAACCUCCUCCCCUGUGGAUGCCACACCCCCUCCCAUUGUAAUGUAUAUAUGAACACAUUUUGAACAAUGGCUUCCUAAAAUGCUGUGGUGCUGACUAACACAAUAGGAAAGGUUGUGGUAGAUUUACAUAAUCAAUUGGGCAUUUCAACAGUCUGACCCUCAAUAUAGUCUUGGGAAUAUAUUGAGCUCUAACAAAGGGGCGUGGAAAAGGUCUGUUGAAAUGAAUACUGUAGUGGUGUGAGAAAGGUAACACAAGCUUCCUUUCUGGAUCCAUUCCCCAAUAGUAACUGGGUCAUUAUUGUAUUGUGGUGGUAAUGCUGUCCCUGGACUUUGGCACCAUAUAAAACACUUUAAAAAUGACAAUUUGUUUUAGUUUUAUUUAACUGUAAUUUAAUAAGAAACAUAUUCAAGUCCUUUACACUACGAAACAUUCAUUUGUAUGCAUUGUAGCAAAUUGGAUUGUCCCAAUGGUGGUGUGUAAAGGUGUAGUGACAUGUUUUGACUCAAUAGAUAUUUUGAAUGUCAUGAAUUAAACAAAAACAUUGUUUUUUGGGUUAACUAUACAGAAAAUACAAAAGGUUAAACCAGAACAAAUUCAUGUAGAAUGUUUAUUUUUCAUAGGCAGAUCAAUUACAUUCAUUGCAGUUAUCCAAAUAAAUGUAUCCAUGACUAAAGUAA